CCUACGGGAGGCAGCAGUAAGGAAUAUUGGUCAAUGGAGGCAACUCUGAACCAGCCAUGCCGCGUGCAGGAUGAAGGCCCUAUGGGUCGUAAACUGCUUUUACACAAGAGAAAACCCCGGUACGUGUACCGGGUUGAUAGUAUUGUGAGAAUAAGCAUCGGCUAACUUCGUGCCAGCAGCCGCGGUAAGACGAAGGAUGCAAGCGUUAUCCGGAUUCAUUGGGUUUAAAGGGUGCGUAGGCGGACUUGUAAGUCAGUGGUGAAAUCUCUUUGCUUAACAAAGAAACUGCCAUUGAUACCGCAGGUCUAGAGUAUAGAUGACGUUGGCGGAAUAUGACAUGUAGUGGUGAAAUACUUAGAUAUGUCAUAGAACACCGAUUGCGAAGGCAGCUAACGAAACUAUAACUGACGCUGAGGCACGAAAGUGCGGGGAUCAAACAGGAUUAGAUACCCUGGUAGUCCGCACCGUAAACGAUGAUUACUCGUUGUUGGCAAUAUGACCGUCAGCGACCGACGGACGGAACGGACGAGUAAAGUAAAGUACCGACCGUAACGGGGUAGGGUACGGUUCCGGGCCGACGGGUUACGGUUAAACGUUAAAGGUUAAGUUAGGUUACGGCGUUGGAGACGNGCGACGGACGACGACGAGGGAGGAGG
rnacentral:rRNA from 1 species